AAUAUGAUAUAACUACAGGGAAAAUUGCCAGAGGGAAAAGAAAUUGCUGUGAAAAGGCUUUCACAGUCUUCUGGUCAGGGGCUAGAGGAGUUUAUGAAUGAGGUUGUGGUGAUUUCCAAACUUCAACACCGUAAUCUUGUUAAACUCCUUGGCUGCUGCACAGAAAGAGGAGAGAAGAUGCUGGUUUAUGAAUACAUGCCAAAAAGAAGCUUAGAUGCAUAUCUCUUCGGUUAGUUGAUUACCAUUACUUUUCUUUUAUAUCUCAUAGGUCUAGCUAAAAAGGAAAUUGUUUGUAAUAUUCUCAAACUUGUAUAUUUUUUAAUGUACUUACAGGUUCAAACCCUGAAGAGAAAGAGUUCCUUGAUUGGAGUAAACGUGUUAUCAUCAUUGAGGGAAUUGGUCGAGGCCUUCUUUACCUUCACAGAGAUUCAAGAUUAAAGAUUAUUCACAGGGAUUUGAAAGCAAGCAACAUUUUGUUGGAUGAACAACUGAACCCGAAAAUUUCAGAUUUUGGCAUGGCAAGGAUUUUUCCAGGCAACCAAGAUCAGGCCAACACAGAGAGAGUUGUUGGUACCUAGUAAGUUCGUGUAUCUUUGUCUUUAUCUUUCAUGAUUGCAAAGAAUAUACAAAGUAAACAUUCAAAAUUAUAACAUGAUGCAGUGGUUACAUGGCACCUGAAUACGCAAUGGAAGGAAGAUUCUCAGAAAAAUCAGAUGUUUACAGUUUCGGAGUUUUGUUACUGGAAAUUAUUAGUGGAAGGAGGAAUACUAGCUUUCACCAAGAUGACUGUGCCUUAAGCCUUCUAGCAUGUGUAAGUUCAUAUGAAAAUUAAGCUACUACUACUUUUUAUGAAAUGUCAACUUUUCAUAAUUCAAGUUUCCAUUGUGUUGUAAAAUGCGCUUGCUCUUCAGGCAUGGAAGUGUUGGAACGAAAAUAACAUUGUCGAAUUGGUUGACCCCAAGAUAAUAGACAUGCAGUUUGAAAGGGAAAUUCUGAGGUGUGCACAUGUUGGACUAUUAUGUGUUCAAGAAUAUGCAGAAGAUAGACCAAAUGUUUCGGUGGUUCUGUCUAUGCUCACUAGUGAAAUUUCUGAUUUGCCAAGUCCUAAACAACCUGCAUUUACAACAAGACCGAGCUGUUCCAAGAAGGAAUCUUCUAAAACUCAAGGCUCUGUGAACACAGUUAGCAUUACUAUUAUGGAAGGACGUUAAAACAACAACAACAACAACAACAAAAGUAAAAACCCCACUAGUGGGGGUCUGGAGAGGUAGAGUGUACGCAGACCUUACCUCUACCCCGGAGGGGGUAGAGAGGCUGUUUCCGGAAAACCCUCGGCUCAGAGACAAAAGAUCCGUAACAACGGAAACUAGACAAAUAACAACAACGAUAAAACAUUUUAACAUUUUAAGUUGGACAUGUAUUUUAUUCCUUCCCCUGUAAUUAGGGAUGUAUCUGAUUCUUUCCUGUAAUUAUUACUGCCUCUGAUUUAUUUGGUAAUCAUUCCACUCAAUAUGAUCUCAAUACAUUAAGAAUUCAAGAGAAAAGAGUAAACUGUGCAAGUCACUCAUGCAGUGGGUGUUUAAUCAUAAAUUCAGCACUAAGAACAUCAGAUUAAUAAAUUGUUUUAGUUCUUCACCCUCCACAAACACACACACAUAACGCACAGAGAGAAAGCAAUGCUAUUGUUUGAUGAUAGAAUCCAUAUCCAAGCAAGAAGAUAGCAAAGACUUCAAACUCAAAGUUGUUAAGCAGUAGCCUAAAAAGAUGUGUUUCCUGAAAUUAGAGAAGUUCAUCUACUACUAGAUUUGGAGUUACCUUUCUUUCAUGGGGAAAAUGACUUCCAUUACAGCUAUCUUAACGUUUAAUUAUAAUAUCAAUUGUUCCAGUCAACACUUAAAAACAUUAUUAUCAAUCUUUACCACUGAUAAUUUUUUAAUCAAAACUGUAUCUUAUUUGCUAAUAUUACUAUUAUUAAUGUUCAAAAGUGGCCACAUUAAAAGUAAGAGAAAAAUACUGACCUUUGGUCUUUCUCGGGAAAAAAAGCAUUUGUUCGUAUAGUUCAGCUUCUUAUGUCCGAUACUAAUUACCGCCGCAUCCAACUGAAAUAUAUAUAGCGUGGCUGGUCAGGAUCUGAAACCUCUGCAUUUUAAUCUCCUCAUUCAGGUUUUGAUUUUGACAUCUCGAGAGUAAAUUAUAAAUCUGCUUUCAUUAUUUUAACCAACUCAGCCACUGCUCAUAUUAGAUAAUUUUGCAAUCGAAUGGAUAGUAUAAUACGGGCAAAUGCCCAUAUGAGGCCCAUCAAUACCAAAGCUCCGAAUCUAAUAAAAUGAAGCGUUGCCUGGGGAAAGAUAUUCACAGAAUACUCCAGAAUACAGACAAAAAUGACAUUAUCAUAUGUUCUAACAAUACAAAAGCAAAAUUUUGUAACAAACAAAUUAGCAAAAGAAAAAUAAAAGUUUCAAAG
rnacentral:lncRNA from 1 species